rnacentral:misc_RNA from 1 species
GGGGGGUGUUGGGGGAAGUGUGGAAAGAGAAAAUAGAGAGAGUAGGACUGUGCCAAUUAUAUGUGAACCUAAAUACAAUAAAACCAACUUGCAUGUUAAAAUGCAGUAAAAACACACACACAAAAAAAAAGUUGAAACUCUCCCUUCUGUUCAGGUGGCCUUUCAGGGGAUAAUGGAAAAGAGAUUUGUCUAUAAAUAUAUGAUCCAUAUCAAAUUACCAACUAAAUACUCAACUCAACUGAGCUUUUAUCCAAAAAAUUUAUUGGGGUCGGUUAUAUGGAUUCUC